GCCGAGUUAGGUCGCGCUAGCUUGCAACUCAAGUGGGGGCACCAAGAUGGUGGGACAUCGGUUCAACUCAUUUGGCAGGGCUUUGCUGUUGCAAUUUGCAGGCUCGCCCGUUCCAAGUUGUGAGUUGGGUCAUGUGGUUCGGGCAAUGCGUGAGGCUGGUUUAACAGAGCUGCGAAAACCUCUCGCUCUCAACAACGGAAGGAUUACGGGUUGGUGCACCGCUAGCCCAGAUUGUCUCAUGGGUUGAGACCUUGUUGUGAACCACCACCUUU
rnacentral:SRP_RNA from 1 species